rnacentral:rRNA from 1 species
GAUGAACGCUGGCGGCAGGCCUAACACAUGCAAGUCGAGCGCGAAAGUCUUCGGAUGAGUAAAGCGGCGAACGGGUGAGUAAUGCAUGGGAAUCUGCCUGGUAGUGGGGGACAACGUUUCGAAAGGGACGCUAAUACCGCAUACGCCCUACGGGGGAAAGGGGGGGAUCGUCGGACCUCUCGCUAUCAGAUGAGCCCAUGUCAGAGUAGCGAGUUGGUAGGGUAAGGGCCUACCAAGGCGACGAUCUGUAACUGGUCUGAGAGGAUGAUCAGUCACACUGGAACUGAGACACGGUCCAGACUCCUACGGGAGGCAGCAGUGGGGAAUAUUGGACAAUGGGGGCAACCCUGAUCCAGCCAUGCCGCGUGUGUGAAGAAGGCCCUUGGGUUGUAAAGCACUUUCAGUGGGGAGAAAGGUCUGGCACCUAAUACGUGUUGGAAUUGAUGUUACCCACAGAAGAAGCACCGGCUAACUCCGUGCCAGCCGCCGCGGUAA